CAUGAGCUGCCUGGUUCUCCUUGUCCAGUACCCUAAAAAUAAAUACCCUCCUUUCUACUGCUGCAAACCUCAGUGUGGAUGUUUGGCUUUCAUGUGUUGGGUGAGCAAACCCCAGCUCAGUUGGGCAAUAUGACACAGGUUUCAAUGAGCCAAAAUCAAGGUGGGCUGGGUUUCUCCUGUGAAGCUCUAGAAGAGAAUCUAUUUCUUGGCUUUGUCCAAAGGGCAUCAUAUCCCUUGCCUCAUGGCUCUUUCCUCCAUCUCUAAAGCUAGAAACAGCAAACUGAGUCCUUCUCACAUCGUAUUGCUCUGCCUCUCUCUCCUGCCUCUCUCUUCCACUUUUUAGGGCCCUGAGAUUACACUGGACCAGCUGACUCAUGGGGAAUCCUCAGGUGAUGGGAAGACAUGGGGGAGCUGUAAGUAGAUAGAAAUACAAUGAGAGUUGUAUUUUUGAGGUGAUUGUUCAGAAUUAGCAUAAACAACAGAGGCGAUGGGUUGGGACUGGGACAGUGACAACAGAGAGCUGGUAGAGAAUGUUUCUCAGAAGGCAGGAGAUGACAAGGCACCUGCUGAAAAUGUGGUCUCCCACGUUUUGUUUCUAGUUACUCAUCCAAAACUAUUCAUCUAGUUACUCCAGUGGUAACUGCAGCAUAACUUCUGCUAGGAGGAUGAUAGCAUUUUAAUCUUGAGGGUUUGGUGUUUAGAAGUUGGUAACAAAAAUGCCACCACAGAUUGGGAGAAGACAAUCAGAAACAAAAGCCCUUGAGAAGCAGAUCAACUGAUUAUCCAGUUCUUCAUAUAAACCAAGAUUAUCUUUAAAAAUUGCAAGAAAAAUAUAGUUCAUUAUUUUGAAUGUACUAUAUUAGAUAUCUUAUUCUCCAUUUCUCUUUCAAUCAUCAUUAUUUUCUUCAAAAUGCAGCUCCAGCAAUUGUGGUUAAUGCUGGUGCAGGACAGGCUUUCAUGACCAUCAAAACUACUGCCACCACCAAAAUUCAGUGGAUGCCUGCGUGAGUUGGGGUGAAAUGGCAUCUUGAACCUUUCAAAUGACAUUCAUCCCAGAUGUCAUCUCAAGGAUAUGGACUUCUCUUCCAGCCUGUUCUACAUCCGUGGAAAUCAUGUCCUCUCCUGGGUAACUAUGUCCAUGAUCUGUGUUUUAUGAAUAUGGCCACAUUCAACCUCUUUUGGCCCCUGAGCAUGUGCUGGCUUGUGGAUUGUUUUUGUUGUUUAUUUCAUCAGCACAUGGAGCAUACAGAGUUAGUAUAUAUUAUUUAACAGAAAAACACAUUAUCUGGUCCAAAGGAAGGUGAUAUGUUAUCUCUUAUAUGAGGGUAGACUCCUCCAUUCGUGAUCUAAAGUUUCUUUGGAAGGAAAGGAGAUUGUGAUUUAUAAGUAGACUUUAUCAUGGAAAGAAAAUAUAUACAAUUAAACUUUUUACAAUCAUGAAUGAAAUAAAAACUGUGAAAAUAAAUUUAUACUGGAAGUCAUGAACAAGUGCAAAUAUGAGGGAUUGCAGGGGCUUUGAAAAAUAUAAAGAUGGACAAGAGAAGUUUCUUUACACAAUGGUUAGCAAAUUUAUAGAACUUAGCAUAUUUAUAGAGCCUCACGAGUGUCAUUAAACUACAUUAUGCAAGUAGGUUUAAGUAGACUGUAUAAUAGUGUCAAGGAUGGAGAACUAUAAUAACUGUUAAGAAUGGCCACAGAUGUUUUAAGCAAUGGCAAAGUCAGGGAAUAUAAUUUUUAAGACAGUGGAAGGUAAUUACACUAAGUGCCAAUGGCAGAUGAGAUUCUUUGUGUUAAGUAUUGCAAGUUGGAUCCCAAAGCACGUUUAAUAUUUUCACAAGGAGAUUUUCACAAGGAGAGUAUGCUCUCCUUUCAGAUGUAUUACAGAAUCAUAACUUGAAAUGUAAUGAUAGAUUUGUGUGCUCAGAGAAUGCUGGGUUAUGCUUAGAAAAAAGUGAAAAGGCAUUGUUGUAAAAAGCCUUCUAAGAAAUAAUAUUUAUGAAACUGAAGAAGGCAUCAUGUGUAAGUUUUAUAGUUUUAAGCUAACAUUUAUGUCUGAUGAUUCAUUAUGAAUUAAAUUUUGCAUAUGGUAUUGAUGUAUAAUUUUUAUUUUUUGUUUUGUUUUCAUUUCCUUGCACAUGAAAACCUGUUUGUCCCAGCACCAUUUGUUGAAAGAUUAUCUUUACUCUGUUGAUUUACCUUUGCACUUUCGUGAAAACUCAGUUGUCAUAUGUGAGGAUUUGUUUUUGCUCUGUAUUUUUUACUAUUGAUCUGUCUAUGUUUAUGUCAAUACCAC
rnacentral:lncRNA from 1 species